GCAGUCGACGCGAAAGUCCUUCGGGAUGAGUAAAGUGGCGCACGGGUGAGUAAUACAUGAGAACAUGCCCUCAAAUGGGGAAUAACGUUUGGAAACGAACGCUAAUACCGCAUAAUCUCGCAAGAGUAAAGGUGGCGCCGUAAGGGCUACCGUUUGAGGAUUGGCUCAUGUCCCAUUAGCUAGUUGGCGGGGUAAUGGCCCACCAAGGCAACGAUGGGUAUGUGGUCUGAGAGGAUGAUCACACACACUGGAACUGAGACACGGUCCAGACUCCUACGGGAGGCAGCAGUAGGGAAUAUUGCACAAUGGAGGAAACUCUGAUGCAGCAACGCCGCGUGAGUGAAGAAGGCCCUUGGGUCGUAAAGCUCUUUAGCGAGGGAAGAAGCUGUGCACGGUGAACAAUCAUGCAUGGUGACGGUACCUCGAGAAUAAGCACCGGCUAAUUUCGUGCCAGCAGCCGCGGUAAUACGAAAGGUGCAAGCGUUACUCGGAAUCACUGGGCGUAAAGCGCGCGUAGGCGGACUCGUAGGUCAGUUGUGAAAUACCUGGGCUCAACCCAGGAACUGCAGCUGAAACCGCUUGUCUUGAAUACUUGAGAGGGUGGGGGAAUACCUGGUGGAGAAGUGAAAUUCGUAGAGAUCAGGUGGAACACCGGAGGCGAAGGCGCCUGCCUGGCAUGUAUUGACGCUGAGGCGCGAAGUGCGGGGAGCAACAGGAUAGAUACCUGGUAGUCGCACGUAACGAUGAUACUAGCGUUC
rnacentral:rRNA from 1 species